UGGAAAAGGUUGUCCUGCAGAGUGCCCUCAAAGAUAUUUAGGACCUUGGUCAAAACGAAGUAUAAAUGCGUACAAAAGAAAUUCUAAGCGAGCUUUCCAUCCACAUUCAGAUUUACGGGGCAUCUCGUUUGACGAUUACGGUUGGUUUAUGAAACUGUUGGGCCGGAAUAAUAUUUGAGAGUGCGGAAUCAAGCUGGUUCCUGUAUACACUAUAAUUAAGAACAAUGGAAUCUCAAAAACAUGUAUACAGAUAUAUACCUGAGAAAAUACUUCCAAAGGAUAAAGCAAAUAUUUAAAUAUUACAGAAACUUUACAUUUUCAUUCAGUUCAUUAUACCCCACUCUGGCUAAGUAAUGCAAAUAUUUAGUGAUCAUUGCGAACCCACUUUGUUCUUUCGUCCGUACAUUCGCUUGUCUAUUCACACUUAGUGUAGUUCAUAUCCAUUUUGUUGUUCGUUGCUUAUAGUGGUUUCACACAGCAAAACAUAUCCUAUAUCAAAUCCACAAGAGGCGGUGGGGCAUUCUGUAUACGCUACUUCUUCUGGACUAGUGACUGGCUCCUCUAAACGUAAUCUGACAGGAUUUCAAUGAAACAUUCACAGAAUCUUCAGUACCUAAUCUAUUGUGCACAUCCUUUUUUUAUUUUCUGAUCUGAAUGAUUUUUAGAACUACCAUAGUCGCCUUAUCUUUUCAAACGGGAGGAGAGCGAGAGUACACAUAUGAGGAUUUUACUCAUAGCCUUUUUUGUUUUUGUUUAUUUUUAGUUUUAUUAGAAAUUAUGCUUACAGCGGGUCUGUAAAUCUAUUGUUUAUAAAACAUGUUCUAUACAUAUAUUUUUGAGUGUGUGAUAUUUAUUUAAAAUGUAAGAAUUUAUUUGUUUUUAAAUUAAAAAAUGUUUUCAAUGUGAAAAUACAA